rnacentral:lncRNA from 1 species
GCUGCUUUCACUGGCCCGGUGGGGGCCAGCAGGGUCAGGGCCCGCGGAAACCCUCAGCCUGGCGGGCCGGGAGGCCGCGGUGCUGCACUGGCUCGGCGCGCUCCCCGAGUGGCGCUCAGGCGGGGCGCGUUCAUUUCAUCUACAGACUGUCGGGAAGGCUUCCCGAACUCCUCCUCCCUGCCCGCCUUUGCGCAGGGCCGGACUCUUCGGAAACUGAAAUCACGGGCCGCCCGGCCCCCACCAGUCCUCGUGGGAUCCGGCCCGGGUUAACCUUCUAUGGGGAGGCCCAGGAGGGCCGGGCGGAGCGCCGGGGCGGGCGUGCGCUGACGUGGCGAGCGGCUCCCUCCACCCGCUCCUCCCGCGGGCACUGCCGAGGCCCAUGGGCGGGAAGCCGGGCGGCGGGCGGGACGUGGCCUCGGUCCCGGCCCUGCCCCGCCCCGCCGCCACUGAGACUCCCAGCGCCACCAACGUCGGAGUUGCAGUUUCUUUAGCUGUCAUAUGCAGACAAGUACUACCCACCUCGCCUUUGGAGUGAGCAGCAUAGGAAGGAAAUAUGGUUAUACUUUCCUUGCU